UAAUACGGAGGGUGCAAGCGUUAUCCGGAUUCACUGGGUUUAAAGGGUGCGUAGGCGGACUGUUAAGUCAGUGGUGAAAUCUCAGAGCUUAACUCUGAAACUGCCAUUGAUACUAUCAGUCUUGAAUGUUCUGGAGGUGAGCGGAAUAUGUCAUGUAGCGGUGAAAUGCUUAGAUAUGACAUAGAACACCCAUUGCGAAGGCAGCUCACUACGGAAAUAUUGACGCUGAGGCACGAAAGCGUGAGGAUCAAACAGGAUUAGAUACCCUGGUAGUUCACGCCCUAAACGAUGGAUACUCGACAUACGCGAUACACAGUGUGUGUCUGAGCGAAAGCAUUAAGUAUCCCACCUGGGAAGUACGACCGCAAGGUUG
rnacentral:rRNA from 1 species